CCCGCCCCGGGCGCGGGCGGAGGGGAGAAGGAGGGGCGUGCGCGCGGCGGAUAACCGGCAGAAGCCGGGAGCAGCGCAGGAGGGAAGAGCGUCAGCUGCGAGCCCGGGCGAGCCGAUCUGAGUUGUAUCCGUUCUCAUCAGCACUCACUCACUUAGGACUUUGCAGACGCAGGACUCCAGAGUAAUCAGACUCCUCAAGAAAGUGACUGUAAUUUCCAGUUCCUUGGUGGAGGAAAACAAAACACUCUGGUCUUACUUCCAAUGAUGCAA
rnacentral:lncRNA from 1 species